rnacentral:rRNA from 1 species
AACGAACGCUGGCGGCAUGCCUAACACAUGCAAGUCGAACGAGACCUUCGGGUCUAGUGGCGCACGGGUGCGUAACGCGUGGGAACCUGCCCUUAGGUUCGGAAUAACUCCCCGAAAGGGGUGCUAAUACCGGAUAAUGUCUUCGGACCAAAGAUUUAUCGCCUUUGGAUGGGCCCGCGUUGGAUUAGCUAGUUGGUAGGGUAAAAGCCUACCAAGGCGACGAUCCAUAGCUGGUCUGAGAGGAUGAUCAGCCACACUGGGACUGAGACACGGCCCAGACUCCUACGGGAGGGAGCAGGGGGGAAUAUUGGAAAGUGGGCGAAGGCCUGAUCCAGCAAGGCCGGGUGAGUGAUGAAGGCAUUAGGGUUGAAAAGCUUUUUUACCCGGGAUGAUAAUGACAGUACCGGGAGAAUAAGCCCCGGCUAACUCCGUG